rnacentral:rRNA from 1 species
UACGUAGGGGGCGAGCGUUGUCCGGAUUUAUUGGGCGUAAAAGGCUUGUAGGUGGCCACGUCAAGUCGGCUGUGAAAUCUCCCGGCUCAACUGGGAGGGGUCAGUCGAUACUGGCGGGCUCGAGGCCGGUAGGGGGAAGCGGAAUUCCCGGUGUAGUGGUGGAAUGCGUAGAUAUCGGGAGGAACACCAGUGGCGAAGGCGGCUCCUGGACCGGUUCUGACACUGAGGAGCGAAAGCGUGGGGAGCGGAUCCGGAUUAGAAACCC